UUACAUCACCUGCAAGGUGACAUCUUACAUUAUUGAGUAGUCUUGCUGAGAGAUAUCUUAUCUUUGACAAUGACCCAAGACAAGCACAGUGGACAUCAUUUUAAAGGUACCUACUAAAUUCAGGGACCUAUGGCUAGGUUCCUUUUCUCCUAGAGACAGAAGAAACCUACUGAUGACUGAUCCAUCGUCACCAAAGUUGCUACAUAAAAGUGAAAAUCAAACAUUCCUUUCUAAUCAGUAUAUGGAUCUACGUGUCAAGAACCUCAUCAGUUCUUUCUCCUUUGUUGCCUCUAGAUUACGUGGCAAUAUCAGACACUAAUGGAAUUGUAUGAUCAAUAGUUACUGACAAAAGCAAAGCUUUCGCUUUCAUUUAUUGAAGUAUAUAAAUAUGCUGACUCUUUCUCUUCUUCCCUUGUCUAUCAACAUAAAAUAAUCACACAAAACACAAAUUUAAGAAAGCACUUUAAG